UGGUCGAAAAUAUUCUUGUUCUGAUUUUGUAAUAAUCAGGCAGGUUAAACAUUCACUAUAUUAAGACCAUGCAUAUGUCCCCAGACCUAGCUCUUCCCCUAGGCCUGGUUUUAUAAAUGUUGGUGACAAAC
ensembl:snoRNA SNORA72 Small nucleolar RNA SNORA72